UCCCCCCCAGGGCCCCUCUCCCAGGGCUCCAUGGCAGGGGGGAAGGGACCCUAACAAGUAUGUAUAGGAAUCUAGCCUCUGAAAAACUUGCCCUUAAUUGUUUUCUCUAAUGCCUGGACAAGUUUGUUAGAAGCAGUUGCUGACUCCUGAUAGUGUUCUGUCAGUAGAUGAAUGCAUACAAGCUCCACUGUUAAGUCCUCUGCCAUUUUAGCUCUGAGUUACUGAAUCUCUAAGAGCUUCCUCAAAUCCAGUCUGGUAGUUUGGAACCCAUCAUACAUAACCCCCAUGAUGCUGAAGGUAGUUUCAAAGACUGCAAGACUGGGAAAAAAGUCUACAUUAAGAUUUAUAUUUUGGACAAUACAUUGGAUGUUGGAGCAUUGUAGAGAAAGGUACUGCCUUGUAAUGAAAAAUGGGACUAAUCAAAAGGGGAAACUUAUUGCCAAUCAGAAAAUAAUUUCAAAGUUCUGUAAAUUAUUUCCUUCCAGAUAUUUUCUGAUAAUAACUUGCUUGACUUUCUUUCUCCCCCCAACACCUUUCCUUGAAUGUUUGCUGGGGUUUUUACCCUUUGGGUAGAAAUAACUUCAGUUUCAUGUACAAUGUGGGAUGUCUGUACUUCCACCUUUUGAUAUUGCAUCAGUUCCCACUUCCUCCAGUAUCAGGUAAAACUUGAAUUAUCAAAUAUAGAAACAGCCUUCUGUUUUAAGCACUUCUUCCAGGUACUGAUCUUUCUACAAAGACUCAGGUCCCUCUUCAGUAAAGUUACUCCUCAGCUACCUAACUCUAUCAAUGACUUCACAUCACAGCAUUCUCACCCAGACAGGAUCGCCUCAAAAGAUCUCAACAGAUCAAAAUUCACUCAUCUUAUAUUGGUAAGGCUUUAUGAAUUUGUCUCUCUGAGGGUCACUAAGUUUCCCCAGACCAAAGUUUAUGCUCACAGUUUACAAGAGCAGGAGUGACAUGGCCACUGACAAGUACCAGCAGCAUUAUUAGCUUGAGCAGACAUGCUGUCCAAUCCAAUUUUAGACUCUUCAGACCUGCCCAUAACUGCAGUUCAUGAAAGGUCAGAUCUGUCAUUUGUGAUCACCACACAAAAAGCCAGAUUAAUAUCUCUGUUCCCGUUUUGCUGGAUAAGUGUGGCUUCAUCCACUUGCUCUUUCCCCUGGAGUGUUAGAACAAUCUCCAUUCGAGUCAUCCAGAAAGCUAGGAUAGACAAAUAGCUUGUAUGGGAGUUUUGUCUCCUCCCCUGCCCUGUGCAUUCACCUUUUCCAUAAGGUCAUAUUCAGAGAAUGAGGAGAGGAACUGGCCUGAGCCUGGAAGCACUAGCAAUACAUUUCAUUAUUCCUAUUUGAUGUGGUCAAGAUCUGCAUCAGUUCUGUCAGUCACCAAUGAGCAAGAAUCACUCUCAUUUUGUAUUAUGGCCUCUGGCGACAGAAGCUCUGGAAAAGUUUCUUGUGAUCUUCUUGAGCCUCUUGGGAUUAUUCCUUGACUUCUUGCAGCACCUUAUAAUUGUUCAAGUCCAGGUUUGAACAGGCACCCCUGGGCAAACUCACCAUGACACAACUAACUCUUGUGCUACCGAGCACUGAGUUUUGCUCAAAGUCCUUUGAAACAUCUCUACUUUGAGGCCCUAGUUAGGGUUCAAAUGGCUUAGUAAUGUAGUCACAAGUACUGGCAGAAAGAGAAAUUCCCUCUGAGCUCUGAGCUCCAAAUAAUUUUCUGAGACCCUUACAUAUUUUUCUAAAAGGUUUUAUCACUGCCUCAUUUGUUCCAACUUCAACCAGUAGUCAGAGAGCAUCACGCAGGUGUGACUCUGGUUAGCUUUAUCUGACAUAUGGCAUCAGUGUGGACUGUCUCUCUGCAUGUUUUAUUUGAUUUUAUCCCCUUAAGUCUGCCAUUGCUUUAUUUUUUCCCUAUGUUUUUUGUUCCUUUUGGAUCCCCUUGUUUUCUGAUAAAUAUUUUCCUUUUCCCUUUGGAUUGCCUUGUAAAAAUAGAUCACCAAAUGAAAGUAUCACAGAGUAGAUAGUUAAUUGUACUAAAUUGACAGCCUUAUCUACUUGUGUGUUAUCAUUACUGUUGUUAUGUUUGGACAGGACAUAAUUUCUUUCAUCUUUUGAAACCCUCAGGAGCAAUUAGGAGAACUUAUAUUGCUGGUGCAGGCUUGUGUAGAAGGAGAAAGAAAACUCUGUCUGCUACACUGUGAUUUUGGCCACAGCCCACAGCAAAAGGCAGCACAAAACUGCACCAUCCCAUGGAGGAAAUCUGGGCUGGACACCACACACCACUGCUCCCUGAAAGGACACCUAGGAACUAAAAUAGUGCCUUCAAAAAAAAUUUUGAACUGCCUCGGCUCUCAGCAAGUAUCAGUGCCAGUUUCAUCAUUGAUGCCCCUCCAGCUCUUUUCUCUGCAGUUUUGCAAAAACAUGACUAACAGAGUUCAGAUCUUCUUUGUUGCUUCUCUGUGAAAACUCCAAUUCUGUAAUAAUAAAGCUUAAAACCAAGAAGGUUAA